AAAAAGAAGCGUAAAGGGUUGUGUCUUUUCUAAAAAUAUUAUGUUGGAAGGUUGUGUCUUUUCCAAUUAAUUUCUAAGGUUGUGAAUCCACUUAUGUUGAAAGGUUGUGUCUUUUGAAAAAAUAGUGUAAAGGGUUGUGUCUUUUCUAAAAGUUCUAUGUUGUAAGGCUGUGUCUUUUCUAAUUAAUUCUUAAGGUUGUGAACUUCAAUUAUGUUGAAAGGUUGUCUUUUGAAAAAUAUGUGUAGAGGGUUGUGUCUUUUCUAAAAGUUAUAUGUUGUAAGGUUGUGUCCUUCUAAAAAUAGUAUAAAAGUUGUGACUAUUCACUAGUAUCUUUUAAAAAGUGAAAAAUUGUGAGUAUUAGAAGAAUGUGACUAUUCAUAUUGAAGGGUUGUGACUAUUCAAAUAGGCUU
rnacentral:lncRNA from 1 species